rnacentral:rRNA from 1 species
CGCUAGCUACAGGCUUAACACAUGCAAGUCGAGGGGCAUCAGGAAGAAAGCUUGCUUUCUUUGCUGGCGACCGGCGCACGGGUGAGUAACACGUAUCCAACCUGCCCUUUACUCGGGGAUAGCCUUUCGAAAGAAAGAUUAAUACCCGAUAGCAUAAUGAUUCCGCAUGGUUUCAUUAUUAAAGGAUUCCGGUAAAGGAUGGGGAUGCGUUCCAUUAGGUUGUUGGUGAGGUAACGGCUCACCAAGCCUUCGAUGGAUAGGGGUUCUGAGAGGAAGGUCCCCCACAUUGGAACUGAGACACGGUCCAAACUCCUACGGGAGGCAGCAGUGAGGAAUAUUGGUCAAUGGGCGCUAGCCUGAACCAGCCAAGUAGCGUGAAGGAUGAAGGCUCUAUGGGUCGUAAACUUCUUUUAUAUAAGAAUAAAGUGCAGUAUGUAUACUGUUUUGUAUGUAUUACAUGAAUAAGGAUCGGCUAACUCCGUGCCAGCAGCCGCGGUAAUACGGAGGAUCCGAGCGUUAUCCGGAUUUAUUGGGUUUAAAGGGAGCGUAGGUGGACUGGUAAGUCAGUUGUGAAAGUUCGCGGCUCAACCGUAAAAUUGCAGUUGAUACUGUCAGUCUUGAGUACAGUAGAGGUGGGCGGAAUUCGUGGUGUAGCGGUGAAAUGCUUAGAUAUCACGAAGAACUCCGAUUGCGAAGGCAGCUCACUGGACUGCAACUGACACUGAUGCUCGAAAGUGUGGGGUAUCAAACAGGAUUAGAUACCCUGGUAGUCCACACAGUAAACGAUGAAUACUCGCUGUUUGCGAUAUACAGUAAGCGGCCAAGCGAAAGCAUUAAGUAUUCCACCUGGGGAGUACGCCGGCAACGGUGAAACUCAAAGGAAUUGACGGGGGCCCGCACAAGCGGAGGAACAUGUGGUUUAAUUCGAUGAUACGCGAGGAACCUUACCCGGGCUUAAAUUGCAGUGGAAUGAUGUGGAAACAUGUCAGUGAGCAAUCACCGCUGUGAAGGUGCUGCAUGGUUGUCGUCAGCUCGUGCCGUGAGGUGUCGGCUUAAGUGCCAUAACGAGCGCAACCCUUAUCUUCAGUUACUAACAGGUCAUGCUGAGGACUCUGGAGAGACUGCCGUCGUAAGAUGUGAGGAAGGUGGGGAUGACGUCAAAUCAGCACGGCCCUUACGUCCGGGGCUACACACGUGUUACAAUGGGGGGUACAGAAGGCAGCUAGCGGGUGACCGUAUGCUAAUCCCAAAAGCCUCUCUCAGUUCGGAUCGAAGUCUGCAACCCGACUUCGUGAAGCUGGAUUCGCUAGUAAUCGCGCAUCAGCCACGGCGCGGUGAAUACGUUCCCGGGCCUUGUACACACCGCCCGUCAAGCCAUGGGAGCCGGGGGUACCUGAAGUACGUAACCGCAAGGAUCGUCCUAGGGUAAAACUGGUGACUGG